rnacentral:rRNA from 1 species
CGGAACACAGGUGCUGCGAUGGCUGUCGUCAGCUCGUGUCGUGAGAUGUUGGUUAAGUCCCGCAACGAGCGCAACCCUUAUCAUUAGUUGCUACGCAAGGGCACUCUAAUGAGACUGCCGGUGACAAACCGGAGGAAGGUGGGAUGACGUCAAGUCCUCAUGGCCCUUAUGGGUAGGGCCUCACACGUCAUACAAUGGUCGGUACAGAGGGUUGCCAAGCCGCGAGGCGGAGCCAAUCCCACAAAGCCGAUCGUAGUCCGGAUUGUUCUCUGCAACUCGAGAGCAUGAAGUCGGAAUCGCUAGUAAUCGCAGGUCAGCAUACUGCGGUGAAUACGUUCCCGGGCCUU